AUUUUAAGAAUAGAAAGUCACAAUUGAGUUCCAAAAAUGAUGUGGCCUUAAAUAGGUCGAUGAACAAGACAUGCUGAGAAACAACAUGGUCAGCGACAGAGAGACACUUGAGUUAGUAGGGUUGUCGUCUUUGAAGGAGGAGAUAUUAGUGCCGUUAAAAUCGCUGCAGAUGAAAAUGGUGGCAGAGAGAAAAAUACAGAAUUGGUCGUCAAUGGAUGAGAUGAAUCGGUGGUUUCAAUUAUUGCAUCAUGAUAAUGUAUUGUUUGAGUGUGUGAUCUUGCGAUUUUAGUGACAAAGAGGAAGCAGC
rnacentral:lncRNA from 1 species